UACAUGUUGCAGAGCAACUACGCCUGUGCUCUAGAGCCUGGCAGCCACAAGUCCUGAGCCCACAAGCCAUGACUACUGAAGCCUGAGAGCCCUAGAGCCCGGGUUUCACAUCAAGAGAAGCCACUGCAGUGAGAAGCCUGUGCACCGCAACUGGAGAGUAGCCCCUGCUUGCUGCAACUAGAGAAAGCCCGUGGAGCAAUGAAGACAUAAAUAAAUAAAACCUUGUCCCAAAGAAGGAGAAGUCCAACCUUGGCCUCAGAAGGCAUCUCAGUGGGCUUCAAAGACUUCCCAACUGUCAUCCUUGCUGUAGGAUGCCAAAGAAGCCACCUCCAGCCAGACAGCCUCAUUUCAGCAGGAAAGGUCUCCAACUUUAAGUACUCACAGAUGGCUACUCUAUGGGACAACACGAUCCUAGAACAGUGGUUCUCAGCUCAGGCUGCACAUUUGAAUCCGCUAGAUGUUUGAAAAAGUCUUGAAGAUCUGAUCUCAAGCAAUUUAAAUCCUGGCAUGAGAGGUAAGAGCUCCCGAGCUGAUGGUAACCUGUAGCCAAGAUUGGGGGCUGCUGCUCAGAAAUGGGAGGGACU
rnacentral:lncRNA from 1 species